ACGCUCGACACCUACGGGAGGCAGCAGUGGGGAAUAUUGCACAAUGGGGGAAACCCUGAUGCAGCGACGCCGCGUGAAGGAAGAAGUAUUUCGGUAUGUAAACUUCUAUCAGCAGGGAAGAAACUGACGGUACCUGACUAAGAAGCACCGGCUAAAUACGUGCCAGUAGCCGCGGUAAUCUGAGCGGGCUGGCAAGGC
rnacentral:rRNA from 1 species